rnacentral:tRNA from 1 species
GCCUGGGUGGCUCAGUCGGUGAAGCAUCUGACUUCGGCUCAGGUCAUGAUCUCACGGUUCGUGAGUUCGAGCCCCGCGUCAGGCU